GCCUUCCUAGCUGGUCUGGUGACAGCGCCGCGCCGAAAUCGCGGAGAGCUCCGCUCGAAACGGAGGGGAGGCACCA
rnacentral:tRNA from 1 species